GUGUGACUAGAGACAAGGAAAUGGGUCACGAAGUUGUGGCCAAAGCCCAGAAAAGAGUUGUUCCAAAGUACUAACGGGUGGGUGGCAUAUGGCACUUGGACAAGACAUGAGAUUUCAGAGAAAACUUAAGAGACAUCUCACAUUAAAAAUGGCUUGACCAAGUAUUUAUUUUCAGGUACAGGGGGUCAAUUUAAAUAUCUAAAACUUAAAGAUUCCACUCCCUAAAAGGCCAAGUGUAUAAAUUUAAAUUCAGAAGUUC
rnacentral:lncRNA from 1 species